UAGAGAAGUGCUUACCUGCACUGGACCAUGUAUAAGUCUCCUGGAAUGGAGCGUCGCAGAGGGUGAGAAUCCCGUCUUUGACAUGGACUGCCAGUGUGUUGUGGUGUGCUCUCAAAGAGUCGAGUUGUUUGGGAAUGCAGCUCUAAACGGGUGGUAAACUCCAUCUAAAGCUAAAUAUUGGCGAGAGACCGAUAGUGAACAAGUACCGUGAGGGAAAGAUGAAAAGGACUUUGGAAAGAGAGUUAAACAGUAUGUGAAAUUGUUGAAAGGGAAACGCUUGAAGUCAGUUAUGUUGGCUAGGGAUCAACCCGGCUGUUUUUUUUGCUGGGUGAAUUUCCUAGUCUUGACAGGCCAACAUCAGUCUUGACUGCUGGAAAAGAGCAGAGGGAAUGUGGCACCCUUGGGUGUGUUUAUAGCCCUUUGUCAUAUGUGGGAGUUGGGACUGAGGGAUGCAGCGUGCCGUGAGGCUGGGUUUUUGACCACGUUCGCGCUUAGGAUGUUGGCUUUUAAUGGCUUCAAUCGACCCGUCUUGAAACACGGACCAAGGAGUCUAACAUGCCUGCGAGUGUUUGGGUGGGGAAAACCCUUGUGCACAAUGAAAGUGAUAGUUGAGAUCCCUGUCAUGGGGAGCAUCGACGCCCGGACCUGAGCUUUUAGCA
rnacentral:rRNA from 1 species